rnacentral:rRNA from 1 species
UACGGAGGGGGCUAGCGUUGCUCGGAAUUACUGGGCGUAAAGGGAGCGUAGGCGGACAUUUAAGUCAGGGGUGAAAUCCCGGGGCUCAACCUCGGAAUUGCCUUUGAUACUGGGUGUCUUGAGUAUGAGAGAGGUAUGUGGAACUCCGAGUGUAGAGGUGAAAUUCGUAGAUAUUCGGAAGAACACCAGUGGCGAAGGCGACAUACUGGCUCAUUACUGACGCUGAGGCUCGAAAGCGUGGGGAUCAAACAGG